rnacentral:misc_RNA from 1 species
CAUCCACUGACUGAAUAGGCAUGUAUAAGAGCUGUAUAAGAGUAAGAAUUUGGUUUAAUACCAACCUUUGUCAUCCUCAAGAAUGCAUUUGCAGCCAAGUCACUCAUGUUCUUCAAUCUUCCAUAGGCACUGAUCAGGCAUGUAUAUGAUUUCACAUUUGGCUCCAAACCAGCAUCAUCCAUUUCCAGUAGCAGCUUCUCAACAAUGUCGGGCUGGAGUCUCCUACUGUAUGCAUCCAUCAAAGUAUUAUAAGUAGCCGAG